AACACUGCUUUGAUGCGAGAGGCAAUACGUGUGCGAUAUUCAUUGUUACCAUAUUACUAUACCUUAUUCAGAGAGGCAGCCGUAAGUGGUGUCCCUGUAAUGCGCCCUCUGUGGAUGGAAUUCCCUAACGAUAGAAGCACAUUCGAUAACGGCGAAGCAUUCAUGGUCGGAGCAAGUCUUUUAGUCCAGGGGAUUUACGAAAAGGGCCAAAAGUCUGUGUCAGUUUACUUACCUGGGGAGCAGUCUUGGUACAACUUAAAAGCCGGAGCUGCAUUUCGCGGAGGUGUCUCUCACAAACUUGAAGUUUCAGAGGAUAGCAUACCAAGUUUUCAGAGGGCAGGUAGCAUUGUACCCAGGAAAGACAGAGUCAGGAGAAGUUCUACUCAAAUGGUGAAUGAUCCCUACACGCUGGUAAUUGCCGUGAAUAGCUCGCUUGUGGCUGAAGGAGAGCUCUAUGUUGACGAUGGCAAGAGUUACGACUUCGAGCAGGGGGCUUACAUCCAUCG
rnacentral:misc_RNA from 1 species